GGUGACGAUCGCCACCCGGUCGUAGUCGCCGCCUCCCGCGCGGCCGGGCGGGGAGCCCGCCUGUGACGUUCCGGCCAUCGCCGUCUCCU
rnacentral:tRNA from 1 species